rnacentral:lncRNA from 1 species
AAUAUCUGGGUGGUCAUCCUCCCAGAAUACCUUAUACAAAUUAUAAUGAUAAAGAAAGAAAUUAUAUAGUUAGAGGAAAAGUUAGACCUUUAGAACCUAAAAUAGAAUUUCAGACACCACAUAAACCACAGAUAUUAAACAUUACAGCACAUGACCCUCAAACUUGAAAUAAUAUAAUAGAAGUAUGAAAGAAUACAAUAUUAGGCCAUUAUAUUAGAUCAGCAGAUAAUAUGGAAUCAUUAGAAAUGUAUAGAUAUUUAGAAACAUUUUUAGGAGAAAGUGCUAAAGCUACAUGGGAAGCUUUUAAGAAAAAUAAACAAACAAAAUUUGAAGCAUUAGUAGCAUUAGGAAAUAAUCCUUAUAAUUUUUUUAGUAAGAUACAUGAAUUAUUAACAGGAGCAGAUCCAAAUACAGGACAUAUAAUAAUUCAAAAUAAAGCUAUUAGAAAUCUUGAACAACUUAGCUUAAAUAGAUGGACUAAAGGCAAAGAAGUUAAACAAUUUUUAAAUGAAUAUCAUUAUCUUGUUUCUAUAUCAGGUAAUACUUUUAAUCAAGAAUUAGGUAAAAAAUUAUUUCAUAAAUUACCAGGUCCCUUAGGAUUAGAAAUAACAAAAAAGUGGAAUGAAAAUAAGAAUGUUAUAGAAAGACCAGAUCAUUUAUGGAGUAUAGGAAUAAGAACACAAUUCAUAAUGCAAUGUUUAGAAGAAAAAUGUGUUGAAUUACAAAUUCAGAAUCAACUAAAAAAGAUAGAUUAUAAAUUUUGUAAAGAUAUUUUUACACCUCAG